rnacentral:rRNA from 1 species
AUUGAACGCUGGCGGAAUGCUUUACACAUGCAAGUCGAACGGCAGCACGGACUUCGGUCUGGUGGCGAGUGGCGAACGGGUGAGUAAUGUAUCGGAACGUGCCCAGGCGUGGGGGAUAACGUAGUGAAAAUUACGCUAAUACCGCAUACGAUCUAUGGACGAAAGCGGGGGAUCGCAAGACCUCGCGCGAUUGGAGCGGCCGAUAUCAGAUUGGGUAGUUGGUGGGGUAAAGGCCCACCAAGCCAACGAUCUGCAGCUGGUCUGGAAGGACGACCAGCCACACUGGGACUGAGACACGGUCCAGACUCCUACGGGAGGCAGCAGUGGGGAAUUUUGGACAAUGGGCGAAGGCCUGAUCCAGCCAUUCCGCGUGCAGGAUGAAGGCCCUCGGGUUGUAAACUGCUUUUGUACAGAACGAAAAGGUUUCUACUAAUACUAGGAGCUCAUGACGGUACUGUAAGAAUAAGCACCGGCUAACUACGUGCCAGCCGCCGCGGUAA